rnacentral:rRNA from 1 species
UAGUCCACGCCGUAAACGAUGAAUACUAGGUGUAGGGGGUAUCGACCCCCUCUGUGCCGCAGCUAACGCAAUAAGUAUUCCGCCUGGGGAGUACGACCGCAAGGUUGAAACUCAAAGGAAUUGACGGGUCCCCGCACAAGCAGCGGAGCAUGUUGUUUAAUUCGAAGCAACGCGAAGAACCUUACCAGGGCUUGACAUCCACAGAAUCUUCUAGAGAUAGAGGAGUGCCUUCGGGAACUGUGAGACAGGUGGUGCAUGGUUGUCGUCAGCUCGUGUCGUGAGAUGUUGGGUUAAGUCCCGCAACGAGCGCAACCCCUAUGUUUAGUUGCCAGCAUUAAGUUGGGGACUCUAGACAGACUGCCGGUGAUAAACCGGAGGAAGGUGGGGACGACGGUCAAAUCAUCAUGCUCCUUAUGUCCUGGGGCUACAAACGUGCUACAAUGGGCCAUUACAGAGGGGCAGGCCACGUCGCAAGGGCGGGAGCGAAACCCGAAAGGGU